rnacentral:tRNA from 1 species
GCAGCCAUAGCUCAGUUGGUUAGAGCGCCUGAUUGUGGAUCAGGAGGUCGCCGGUUCGAAUCCAGCUGGCUGUA